GGACGCUAUGGGGCAGGACGCUAUGGGGCAGGAUUCUAUGGGGCAGGACACGAGGACGCCGUGGGUCAGGCCAGACCAUUUAUUGCCAUGGGGUCAGACCCCUAUGGGGCAGAGCCCUAUAGGGCAGCCCGCUAUGGGGCGGGCCGCUAUGGGGCAGGCCGCUAUGGGGCAGGAUUCUAUGGGUCAGACCCCUAUGGGGCAGACCGCUAUGGGGCAGGAUUCUAUGGGGCAGGCCGCUAUGGGGCAGAACACGAGGAUGCUAUGGGGCAGGAGGAUGCCAUGGGGCAGGACACAAGAAUUCUAUAGGGCAGGCUGCUAUGGGGCAGGAUGCUAUGGGGCAGGAUUCUAUGGGGCAGGAUUCUAUGGGGCAGGAGGACGCUAUGGGGCAGGACACGAGGACGCCGUGGGUCAGGCCAGACCAUUUAUUGCCAUGGGGUCAGACCCCUAUGGGGCAGACCCCUAUAGGGCAGACCGCUAUGGGGCGGGCCGCUAUGGGGCGGGCCGCUAUGGGGCAGGCCGCCGUGGGUCGCUCAGUGCUCGUAGCCGUGGGGCAGGGGGUUGGUGUGGGGGUUGUGGAACAGCGUGUGCUGCCCGUCGCCCCACGGGAACGGCUGCGGGGACGGGGACGGGGUCAGUGGGGCGGACCCAGAGGGGCCCCAUAGGACCCAUAGGGACCCAUGGGACCCCAUAGGGACCCAUAGGACCCUAUAAGACCCCAUAAGAACCCAUAGAACCCCAUAGGACCCCAUAGGACCCAUAGGACCCUAUAAGACCCAUAGGGCCCCAUAGGGAGCCAUAGGGCCUUAUAGGGCCCUACAGGACCUAUAGGGACCCAUAGAGCCCCAUGGGACCCCAUAGGACCCUAUAGAGUCCCAUAGGACCCCAUAGCCCCCAUAGCCCCCCCAUAUCCCCCCCAUAGCCCCCCA
rnacentral:lncRNA from 1 species